rnacentral:rRNA from 1 species
UACGUAGGGGGCAAGCGUUGUCCGGAUUUACUGGGCGUAAAGAGCGUGUAGGCGGCCAAACAGGUCCGUUGUGAAAACUGGAGGCUUAACCUCCAGACGUUCGACGGAAACCGUGUGGCUAGAGUCCGGAAGAGGAGAGUGGAAUUCCACGUGUAGCAGUGAAAUGCGUAGAGAUGUGGAGGAACACCGAUGGCGAAGGCAGCCCCCUGGGUCAAGAUUGACGCUCAUGCACGAAAGCGUGGGGAGCAAACAGG